rnacentral:rRNA from 1 species
AACGAACGCUGGCGGCGCGUCUUAAGCAUGCAAGUCGGACGGCAAGAUGCCUUCGGGCAUCCUAGAGUGGCGAACGGGUGAGUAACACGUAAGUGAUCUGCCCUGCAGUUGGGGAUAGCCUGUGGAAACACAGGGUAAUACCGGAUGAGAUGACAAUGAUUGAACUAUGUCAAGAAAGUGGCUACGGCCACGCUGCGGGAUGAGCUUGCGGCUCAUUAGCUAGUUGGGGGUGUAACGGACCACCAAGGCGACGAUGAGUAGCCGGCCUGAGAGGGUGAACGGCCACAUUGGGACUGAGACACGGCCCAGACUCC